rnacentral:rRNA from 1 species
UGGGGAAUUUUGCGCAAUGGACGAAAGUCUGACGCAGCAACGCCGCGUGGAGGAUGAAGGUCUUUGGAUUGUAAACUUCUGUUAAUUGGAAAGAAAGACCAAGGGUUAAUACCCCUUGGGGAUGACGUUACCGAUAAAGAAAGCCCCGGCUAACUUCGUGCCAGCAGCCGCGGUAAUACGAAGGGGGCAAGCGUUAUUCGGAAUGAUUGGGCGUAAAGGGAGCGUAGGCGGCGUGGUAAGUCAGAUGUG